rnacentral:lncRNA from 1 species
AUGGAAUAUUUUCUAUGUUUUGUUUUUGGUUUACAAGGGUAUGGAAUUUCACGUCAGGGUGAGCUCCAACAUAGAGAAAUACAUUUGGAUAUGUUCUCAAUGAGCAGAUUGUGGAAGACAAUGCCUAUAAAACAGUAUAUAAACGACGAACACCAAGAUCGAACCCUCGAAACCAGACAAGAAAAUGGCAUUUUAUUCGAAACGAAAUGA